CGGAGGACUCCGGGUGUUCGCUCGGCGGCUCGGCCGUCGAGAGGAAAGUCCGAGCUCCCACGGGCAGCAUGCUCGCCAACGGCGAGGCGCGGCGACGCGACGGAAAGUGCAACAGAGAGCAGACCGCCUCGGGCGCGCGAGCGUUCGCGGUAAGGGUGAAAGGGUGCGGUAAGAGCGCACCGCUCGGCCGGCGACGGUCCGAGGCACGGCAAACCCCAUGCGGAGCAAGACCGAAUAGGGGAGCGGAUCGAGGGUCGCCCGUCCCGAAGCGUCGUUCCCGACGAGGGAACGACGGCCGCUUCCGGGUAGGUCGCUGGAGGAUGCCGGCAACGGCAUUCGCAGAGGAAUGAACGCCGCCCCGCGAGGGGUACAGAACUCGGCUUACGGGUGCCUCCGAUCC
rnacentral:RNase_P_RNA from 1 species